rnacentral:rRNA from 1 species
AUACUGCAUAGCUAGGGAGUGGGAGAGGUAGACGGUACUCCGUAGGAAGGGGUAAAAUCCUUUGAUCUAUGGAUGACCACCUGUGGCGAAGGCGGUCUACCAGAACACGUUCGACGGUGAGGGAUGAAAGCUGGGGGAGCAAACCGGAUUAGAUACCCGGGUAGUCCCAGCUGUAAACGAUGCAGACUCGGUGAUGCCCUGGCUUGUGGCCAGUGCAGUGCCGCAGGGAAGCCGUUAAGUUUGCCGCCUGGGAAGUACGUACGCAAGUAUGAAACUUAAAGGAAUUGGCGGGGGAGCACCACAAGGGGUGAAGCCUGCGGUUCAAUUGGAGUCAACGCCAGAAAUCUUACCCGAAGAGACAGCAGAAUGAAGGUCAAGCUGGAGACUUUACCAGACAAGCUGAGAAGUGGUGCAUGGCCGUCGCCAGCUCGUGCCGUGAG